rnacentral:lncRNA from 13 species
AAACACAACUGCUGCCGAUGAAAAAUCAACAUCCUGAGAACGCUUGUUAAAAAGUCCAUGAUGGGCCGGGCGUGCUGGCUCAUGCCUAUAAUCCCAGCACUUUGGGAGGCCGAGAAACAAGACACAGCUGAAAACCAAAGCACUUUUGAUUGAAAAAAGCCAGGCUGCAUGAGAGAGCGAUCUCCCUUGAAUUCCAGAGGAUGGCUUCACACAUCAGGAACCAAGCAGGAGCUUUGGAGCAUUGGCUGAAGACGAGAAGCAUAAGAACCCUGAUGAUGAAAUACAGGAACUUCACAACAAGCAUAAAAUGAGCUGGGCAUGGUGCCUCAGGCCUGUAAUCUCAGCACUUUGAGAGGUCAAAGUCAGAGGAUUGAUUGAGGCCAAGAGUUCGAGACCAGCCUCAGCAACAUAACAAGAACCCAUCUCUGCAAAAAAUUAAAAAUAAACUAUCCAGACUGGGCA